rnacentral:lncRNA from 1 species
AGAAAUUCAUAAUAUGAGAAGUUAUCUCCUUAAAAACUUAAAUGCCUAAAGAUUAUUUGUUUUUCAAGCCUUAUAAGAAACAUGAAAUCAUGAUUAUACACGUUGUUAUCAAUACAGAAAAAUGUUGGGUGUAUAUUAUGAGGCAUAUGAGAAAGAAACAAAAAAAGUAAUAUGAUAAACAGAAGUUGGUUCAACUUGUUUUUGAUCAUCUCAUUAUGAAACAAACAAAAGUGAGAGUGAGAGGAGAGAGAAAAAAAAUAUGAUGACAAAUUGAAGAGAGAGAAUGAAAUGAUUAAGAGAAGAAGGCGGAAUCGGGCGGUGGUGGGUGGGUUGAGAUGACGGCUGCCGCCUGCGGAGGAGAGAGGCUGCACAGCAAUCUCUUUGGAAUUUCUUCUGUUCAACUCUCACAGGUUUUUUUUUCCUUUCUCCCCACAACAUAACACUGCUUAAUUUGAUUUAUACAAAUUAGGGUUUUAUUAUACUUUAUCCUCUCUCAUUCAUUCAUGCAACAAACACAUACAAUAUUUAUUUCGUAUCUAUAUAGUUCAGCAAUUCAAACUUGUUGUGUUGAAUGUACAUUACUCACUGCACACAAGGAUUUAUAUAUAAUGCCAAUAAAACCCACACUCAACUCAAAACCAACCAAAAUUAAGUUCAUAAUCUUCCUUAAUCACUUCAACAAAAUAUUCAAUCACAACCAGAUAUUACUCAAACUCAUAGUUACUGAGAAAAUAAAAGCAUGCAAAUGUCUAACAUAAAACCAAGAAAUAAGUCUUGAAAAUACUCAUCAAACCAAUUUAUUCAAACCAUGUUUUGAUAAAACUCACCAAUCACUUCAAGGAAAGUGCGAUAGGCACUUAAAUGUUACCUCCUUCGCCGCUGCUACCGACAUUUCCUGGAGGAAGCGCCACAGAGCCUGAGUCAUUUCCAUCAAUCAGAAGAAACCCCCCUGAAUCAGUUGUACUGUUGAGACCUCCCAUGUUGCCUUGAGUAAACACGGUGCUGCUACUAGUACCUGUAUUGUUAUCGGAACCUUUACACAUCCGAUCAAAUCGCUUCAAUAGACUUAAGAAUAAGCGUCCAUCCGAAACUUUUCCAUCUACGUUUGCCCCAGAAUCUAUCCCAUUCUGUAAAGGAGAAGUUAUCGGUGGUGGAGGAGGAUCUUGAGGCAAUGCCUCUUCAGAUCGGCCGAUUUUCUUCUCAAGAGCAGCUUCCAGCCUUUCCUUUCCAAUACAAAAUAAACGGUUUAGCUCUUGAAAUUCAGAUAAAGAUAAAGGCUUACAAUCAUCAUUGAUUUGAUCAGUCAAAAUUGACUUUUCUUUGUCAUUCAGCUUGAAAAGUUCAUCUUCCAAUCUUUUUGUCUCCUCCAACAGACGAGCAUUUUUAGCCUCUUCAUGUGCUAGAAGCCUUUCCAGUAUUUGUUCAGCUACCUCAGGAGAUGGCCACAUUAUAGGUUCGGUAUCACCUGGGCCUUGGAUAAUUGCGCAGGCCUCAAUACCGCACAGAAUGGUCAACUCCUCCAUCUCCUUCAAAAACCCUGCCACUUUUCUCUUGUAGCAUUGCUUUCUCCGUUUCUCAACCAAAUCAGUUGAAACCAUUUCUCUCUCCUUCAAUACAAGAAAAAUAAGCAAGGAUAUGAGUAGAUCAGAAUCACGAUCGAACUAAAAUGAAAUACCAUAAGCGAAAUCGAACAAACAAAAUAGCCAAUGUGAAAUCGAACAAACAAAAUACCAAAAGGGAAAUCAAACAGAAAUAGAACCAAAAAAAUCCCAUAAGUGAAACCGAACAAAUAAAAUUCCAAAACUGAAAUCAAACAGAAAUAGAACAAAAAUGAAAUCACAAACAGUGAAUCACAACCAAGCGAUCACGAACGAACAGAAAUUGAAUUGCGAAUCUAGGGACUAGGGUUAGCCGACUUGGGAGUAAGGUUUCUGUUGAAGAAUCGAGAGAAAUUAGAUUUUAUUCUCUUUUAUUUUAUAUUAUUAUGUUUAUUUUUAUUCUAUCAUUAUUAUUCAGUUUUACUAUUGUAAUUUCUUUUCCUAUAUAAACAGCUUAGGGCUGUAAUAAUAAAACAUGAAAGUAUUUUGUCUUUUACUUUCUUCAUGGUAUCAAGAGCUCUGGUUAGGGUUCUGUAAACCUUUCCACAACCAUUAGGACGAUGGUUUGGCAAAAAAAUCAGACGUAGUCAACAACCCUGACAAUUUAGACAGCGCCAUAAGUGGCGGUGGCAGCGGCCUAAGCAGCCAGAAUGGUUCUUCCAACUUUUUUGGCCAUGAGGGAACUUCUAAUACCCUCAAGGUUGAAAUCCAGAAACUAAAUGGAAAAAAUUAUGUCGAAUGGUCCCAAACCGCAAGAUUGAUUUUAGACGGUAAGGGAAUAUAUGGUUUCCUAACAGGAGAGGUGCAAAUGCCUGCCACAACUGAUCCAAAAUACAGGUUUUGGAAAUCUGAGAACUCUGUUAUUAUUGCUUGGUUGCUUAGUAAUAUGGAAUCAACAAUCAAAAAACCUUUUAUGUUUUUGCCUACUGCCAAGGAAGUUUGGGAGGCUGUCAAAGAAACAUAUUCUGAUAUUCAGAAUUCUUCUCAAAUUUUCGAUCUCAAAUCACGAUUGUGGCAUACCAAACAAGGAGAUAGAGAUGUCACUACCUAUUACAAUGAGUUGAUGACACUAUGGCAAGAAUUGGAUCUCUGCUAUGAUGAUCAUUGGAAGUGUUGUGAGGACAGUGUUCUGUUUCUUAAGAGACAGGAGAACGACCGUGUAUUCAUGUUCUUGGUUGGGCUUAAUAAGCGGCUUGAUGAAGUCCGAGGCAGAAUAUUGGGAAAAAUCCCAUUGCCAUCACUUCGGGAAGCAUUCUCAGAAGUUAGAAGAGAAGAGGCGAGACAAGGUGUUAUGAUGGGUAAGUCACCUUCUGUUGGUGAGGUUGAAAGCUCUGCCCUAGUCACAAAAAAUGAAGACGGGAAGAGCGCUGGCAAGAAACCAUGGUGCGAACAUUGCAAACGUCCAGGGCACACACGUGAUACAUGUUGGAAGCUCCAUGGAAAACCUCUAAAUUGGAAGAAAAAAGAAAGAAACGAAGGUCAUGCGCUCCAAGCUGGUACAUCUGAUCAAGAGAAGCAGUCUCCUUCAAGCCCAUCUCCUUUCACCAAGGAACAGUUAGAUCAAUUGUACAAACUUCUUGAGUCUCAAACUUCUUCUUGCUCUAUAGCUCAGAGAGGUAAUUUUCCAAAUACUGCUCUACUUAGUGUCACUCCCAGCCAUACUUGGAUUAUUGAUUCUGGUGCUACUGAUCAUAUGACUGGGGAGUCGAGUCUAUUUUCUUCUUAUAGCCCUUGUGCAGGUAACCACAAAAUUAAAAUUGCAGAUGGCUCUCUUUCAGCCAUUGCAGGGAAAGGUUCUGUUAUUCUGUCACCUAAGUUAACCUUAAAAGAUGUCUUACAUGUUCCUAAUUUAUCAUGUAAUCUAUUAUCCAUUACUAAAUUAACAAAGGAUAUAAAUUGUCAAGCUAACUUCUUUCAUUCUCAUUGCACUUUUAAGGAUUUGAGCACGGGGAAGAUGAUUGGCAAUGCUAAGGAGAGUGGAGGACUCUAUUAUCUUGACAAUGGACUCGACUUCAAAGACCAACAAAAAACAAGUACCUGCUUUGAAUCUAUUUUUGUUUCUUCUAAUAAUGAUGAUAUUAUGUUAUGGCAUUUACGGUUAGGACAUCCUAGUUUUCCGUAUUUGAAACAUUUGUUUCCUAAAUUAUUUUCUAAGAAGGAUCCAUCUUUAUUUCAUUGUGAAACUUGUGAAUUUGCUAAACAUCACCGUUCUUCUUUUUCUGCACAACCAUAUAAACAAUCAAAACCGUUUGCAGUUAUUCAUAGUGAUGUUUGGGGUCCUAAUAGAAUAAACACAUUUUCUAAUAAAAAAUGGUUUAUAACUUUUAUUGAUGAUCAUACUAGAAUUUGUUGGGUUUAUUUAUUGAAAGAAAAAUCGGAAGUUGGACAGGUUGUCAAAAAUUUCUUUAAAAUGGUGCACACUCAAUACCAAACAAAUAUUCAAGUCUUCAGAAGUGACAAUGGUAAAGAAUAUUUUAAUAUACUUUUGUCCGAUUUUUUUCUUGCAAAUGGGGUUGUUCAUCAAAGUUCUUGUGUUAAUACACCCCAACAAAAUGGAAUUGCAGAGAGAAAGAAUAGGCAUCUCCUUGAGGUUGCUAGAGCUUUACUAUUUGCAAAUAAGGUUCCAAAAUAUUUGUGGGGUGAAGCUGUUUUAACUGCAUCAUAUUUAAUCAAUCGAAUGCCAUCUAAAGUUUUAGAUUUUCAUACACCUCUUGAUGUUUUUCGAAAUUAUUUUCCAUUGACUAGUGUCUCUGCUGAUUUGCCACUAAAAGUUUUUGGUUGCACUGCUUUUGUUCAUGAACAUAAACACCUUGACAAACUCGAUCCACGAGCAAUAAAAUGUGUGUUUACCGGUUACUCUCCAACUCAGAAGGGGUAUCGGUGUUUUGAACCAAAAUCAAAAAGAAUUUUUGUAACCAUGGAUGUUACUUUUGUUGAAAAUCAACCAUUUUUUAGUGACAUUCAUCUUCAGGGGGGAAAUUUUAAGGAAGAUUCAUCUUUUACUUUUGAAAACAUCAUUACUUUAAGUGAUAUAGUGUUGUCACAAAAUUCUGAGACUUAUAUUGAUGCACCAAAAGAAAAUGCCCAAGAAUCCAUAUUGAAACUCAAUCCACUUAUGAAUGAGGUUUCGACAGAUUCAGUGGCGACAAUUUCAAAUGAAAAUCACAAUGAUCAAAUUCUUGAUCUCAAUAAUAAUAAAGGACCACCUGAAAUGCCACAACAUAAUGACUCAGAUAAAGAGACACAAAGCAGGUUUACUACAAUUGACCCUACUUGGAAGGGAAAUGUCUUUGAAAGAAGAAACCAUAAACAGAGAAAUGAAGGACCCAUUCUCCGACCCUUCCAAGAUUCUGAACCAAUAGAUAAUCCAACACAUCAUCUUGAUACAGGUAAGUCUUCUUCUAUUCUUAAGAGUCAUGUCGAGUAUCCUGAUUUAGACCUUCCUAUUGCAAUUAGAAAACCUAUUAGAUCAUGCACUAAAUAUCCUUUGUCUAAUUAUGUGUCAUACUCAAAAUUGUCUUCUUCAUUUGCUGCAUUUACCUCUAAGUUGUCUACUGUAGAAAUUCCAAAAAAUAUACAGGAGGCUCUAAAAAUUCCAAAGUGGAAAGAAGCUGUUCUUGAGGAGAUGAGAGCUCUUGAGAAGAAUCAAACUUGGAGAGUCAUGACAUUACCUACAGGAAAGAAUACUGUUGGCUGUAAAUGGGUAUUUACUGUGAAAUAUAAUUCUGAUAACACAGUUGAAAGAUACAAGGCACGCUUGGUUGCUAAAGGGUUUACUCAGACAUAUGGCAUUGAUUACUCAGAGACUUUUGCUCCCGUUGCCAAAUUAAACACUAUUAGAGUUCUCUUGUCCUUGGCAGUGAAUUUAGAUUGGUCUCUUAACCAACUUGAUGUAAAGAAUGCUUUUCUGAAUGGUGAUUUGGAGGAGGAAGUAUACAUGGAUAGCCCACCUGGCUUUGAAGAUAAAUUUGGUUCAAAUGUGUGCAAACUUCAAAAAUCCCUUUAUGGUCUCAAGCAAUCUCCAAGGGCUUGGUUUGAAAAAUUCACUCAGUCGGUCAAAAGGCAAGGAUAUAUGCAGGGACAAUCAGACCAUACUCUGUUCAUGAAGUUCUCUAAUGUUGGUAAAAUUUCAAUUUUAAUUGUAUAUGUAGAUGAUAUUAUUCUCACAGGAGAUGACAUUGUUGAGAUGGAAAGAUUGAAGAAAAAUUUGACUAAAGAAUUUGAGAUCAAAGAUUUAGGCGCGCUUAAAUAUUUUCUUGGUAUGGAAGUUGUUCGCUCAAAGAAGGGAAUUGUUGUUUCUCAAAGAAAAUACAUCCUAGAUCUCUUGGAAGAAACUGGGAUGAGUGGGUGUAGACCAGCAGAUACUCCUAUGGAAUUAAAUGCUAAACUUUGGGAGAAAGGCAGUGUUCCUGUUGAGAUUGGAAGAUACCAGAGGUUAGUCGGCAAACUUAUUUAUCUAGCCCACACUAGACCUGACAUCGCUUUCUCUGUGAGUGUUGUAAGUCAAUUCAUGCAUUCUCCCUAUGAAGAACACUUGGAGGCAGUUUAUCGAAUCUUAAGGUACUUGAAAUCCAAUCCUGGAAAGGGUUUGUGCUUCAAGAAAACUAAUGACAGAGAAGUCUCUAUAUUUACAGAUGCUGAUUGGGCAGGAUCAAUUACUGAUAGAAAAUCCACCACUGGAUAUUGUGCCUAUGUUUGGGGAAAUUUAGUUACUUGGAGAAGUAAGAAACAAGGGGUUGUUGCUCGAAGCAGUGCAGAAGCUGAAUUCAGAGCAAUGGCUCAAGGAAUCUGUGAACUUUUAUGGAUUCGUAAACUUUUGGACGAACUGAAAAUGAAAGUUGACUCACCCUUAAAAUUGUUCUGUGAUAGCAAAGCAGCAAUAAGUAUAGCUCACAACCCUGUACAACAUGAUAGAACCAAGCAUAUUGAGAUUGACCGCCAUUUCAUAAAAGAAAAAAUUGAUGCUGGAGUUAUAUGUCUGCCAUUUGUGACUUCCAACCAGCAAACUGCUGAUAUCUUGACAAAAAGUUUGGCAAGACCCAAUUUUGAGCGACUUAUAGCCAAGUUGGGCAUGACAGAUAUCUAUGCACCAACUUGAGGGGGGGUGUUGAAGAAUCGAGAGAAAUUAGAUUUUAUUCUCUUUUAUUUUAUAUUAUUAUGUUUAUUUUUAUUCUAUCAUUAUUACUCAGUUUUACUAUUGUAAUUUCUUUUCCUAUAUAAACAGCUUAGGGCUGUAAUAAUAAAACAUGAAAGUAUUUUGUCUUUUACUUUCUUCAGUUUCUUUACCUUUUGAGCCUCGAAGUUUGAAGGAAGAUGUGAAGUGAGCAACUGAGAAUGUGAUAGCCGGUUAUAAACUAUGGACCAAACCAAAAAGAAUGGGCCUGUUAAAGUCUUUAUUGCCAAAAACCAGUUGUUUUAAAGUGGGUCAAGAAAUGAUUAAGGAAUGGGCUUAUUAGCCUAUAUCUAGUUCAGUUAUGUAAUUCCCUUUGGUUAUGCGAGUCACCAGUCUAUUGAGCACAUGUAAUUUGAUCCAAGCCGCUUGGCAUCAAUGUUGUCAAAUAGCAAUGCUAUAGCACUAAAACAUAGCGGAAUUUGAACAAAUAAGUAUUUUUCUGUGAUGGUGAUGCUAUUUAAUACAAAGUGUUGGUUAAGUAAUAACUAUAUCAGCACUAUAGCAUUGUCGUGUAGCAGUAAUUGAACAAACCGCUAUUUCCCGCAUGAUACUUGGUACUUAUUUUCUAAGUCGACUUGCCAAAGCUGACAAUUGUCUUCAUUAUAUCUAUUUAGGCCACAUUUCUAGUUAAGGUAGAGUUAGAUUUUUCUCAAUAUAUCCAUUUAGGGUGUUCAAGAAAUUUAUUGAGACGAAUUAUGUAUGUCCUUUCCAAUCCUAAAUUUUUACCGGGCCAAACGUUUAAACUAGAGCUCGAUCUUAGACUCGAGUAAAUCCAAUGAUGUAUGUGUCAAUUAAGAUUGGGUUUAAGCAUGUCGAUUCAAAAUUAAAACAAAACAAAAUUACAUUGUUGGCAUAAAACUAUACAAGCUGAAGUAGAUGCUCUUGAGUAUAACUAAACCAGGUCCAUUGUAGAUUUACCAUAAGUAUACUUCAUAUUGGCUUCUAUAUUAUGAGAACAAAAUUAAGUACCAGCUCAGAAAAGUAUAAAGCUCAGUUAGUUACUAACGAGUACACAGCACACACAAUGUGAGGGCAGUGAGACUACUUUGAGACUUUUACCAAGCUAACCAAUAUUAGAGUUUUAUUAGCUUUGGCUGUUAUAAAAGGCUGGUUCUUAGAAAAUUAUAUGUGAAUAUACUUUUUUACAUGAGUAUUUAUGAGAAAGUCUACUUAUAAUGAAUCUCAUAUAUCUCGUAAUUUAGUCUUUAUAGUUACGUAUGUUGAUACAUUGCUU